CUGCCUGCCUUGUGCUUGGCUGUAUGAUUUUCCCUGAUGGCUGGGAUUCAGAUGAAGUAAAACGGAUGUGUGGAGAAAAGACAGACAAGUACACUCUUGGGGCUUGUUCAGUCCGCUGGGCUUACAUCCUGGCUAUCAUUGGGAUUUUGGAUGCCCUCAUCCUCUCGUUUCUGGCAUUCGUGCUUGGUAACCGACAAGACAGCUUGAUGGCAGAGGAACUGAAGGCAGAAAACAAAGUUCUGCUAAGCCAAUAUUCUCUAGAAUGAGCACAAAACAAAUCAAAUAACAGCUAAACAAAUUGAAUAACAGCUUUUGUACAUCAACAUCGAGAAGGAAGACGCUUGGGAGAGAUCAGAGUACCAAGAUGGAUAUGGGCGAGAGUGAAGCGUCCACUGUCAAAGCACCUUCUAAAUCUAGAUCGGCAGAGAUGGGAGUGAUUUUCUGGAAGGAGAUGUGAUCACGGAUUAAACACCAGCUCAUUGGAAACUAUCAUUGAAUAAGAGCAGAUAAUAUUCAUGAGAAAUCACAUUCAGGAAAUAUUUUAAGGAAAAGGAAUAUAAAUGUGCUAGAAUUAACAUGUAAAAUAUAUAUGUACCGAAGUUUGUAAACUGUCCUUUUUUAAUCAAACAGAAAACAGAAAGCUUUAAUCUUUAAAGAUUAUUUUAAAAAAGGCAGUCCAUCCUAAAUUAUUCCUAUUUCAAUAGCCAAGAAGCUGAUCAAGCAUCAGUUAUGGAGGAAGCAUCUUGGAAAAUGCCUGUGAAUGUUUUCAUAGGAGCCAUGACCUUUGGUUCCCAUGUCUGCCGUUCAUUUAUGUCACUGUGUAAUUAGUUAAAACCACUCGGUUAAGAGAUGUAACGCUUCAAACUUUUUACCAGUUCUGUGUUCAGUUUAAUCUGUCUGUACGUGUUAUUACUGAGAAAGUGUUUCUGACAUAUACUAUUACUCCAUCAAGCUGUAUAUUACAGGAAGUACAUCUUUACAUCAUAGUUUCCCGAGCAACAUAGAUUUCCCUAUCUUUCAGGAAACAGCAUCAAGGAACUCUGAAAAAUAUAGAAAGCUCAUUUUCACCUUGGAUGCUCACAUAUAAUGUAUAGGCUGCUAUCAAAUAAACACUUUUUCUAUUUCUCCCUAAUAUAUGCAUAGGAAUUUAAUAUACUUUAUAAAUAACAUCUAAAAUACCUUCUUUUUUUUCUAUUUCUUUGCCAUACAUAACAUCAGAAAUCCAUAUCCGUUCUUUCCCUGACAGGCACUCAUUUUUAUUUUUAAAAAUCACCAUUCCAUUAAACCCAUUUCUAAAUGAUAGUGAGUGGUACUAAAAAAAUAAAUAAUAAUUUAAUAGCCUUAGAAAUAAAUGAAUAUAAACUUAUACAGAAGAAACUUGAUAGGAAACUUGAUAGGAGUAAGUUGCCUUUUUGUUUACUAAUAUUGGUUUCAAGAAAACUCAAUUUUUUUUUAGUUGGUUGGCAUUUAGAAGUAGUGACAAAUGAUCAGUUGUCUUCAGCAAUCUUUUGCUCCCAGGCUUCCCCACCACCACCCUCACCACAUAUCCUGCCAAUACGCAACAACAGAAAAAUAUUUAAUAUUGAAGUAGCCAAUUGCUUGAGAAUGAAAACAAGCUAAAAUGUAUGUGUGGGGUAGUCAGCGUAAGCCAAACCACGUGCUAUACCUGAGCAGAAAACAUGAACAUGUAGAAUGCCUUCAUUUUUAGACUCGAAAUUAAGAUCCAAUUAGCAUAUAUCACUGGAGGAGCAGACAGAGGAUAAUACAAGAAGAAUCAAGCAAGAUACAGAUCAUGGUUGUUUUCUCUUACCCUGUCUCUAUUAGGACCACACUCCUAGUUUUGCCAAAUGUUUCUGGUACUACAUCUUUUCACCAUAAAUGAGAUUAUGUUUCAAAUGGCUAAAAAGUAUAUUACAGAUACAGUCAAAUAUGUGAAACUCAAUUCACAAAGAUAUGGAUUUUCUAAAGAACCAAAUUAGGGGAAUACUUAUUAUCUCUAAAGUAUUAGCCGUGCUGGGAGUUAUUUGUUGCUUUAAAUAUUAACUCUCCCACUGCAUUCAAAACACCCUGCUUACUAAAUUCAAUUACACACAACUUUUCAAGAAUUCAUUUUUGAUUUAAAGGGAGGUACCUCUCUAUUUUAUCUAUAAUGAAAAUAGAAGGUAUUGGCUUUCUCUAAUCAAUGUAAAUUACAGAUUCCACUGGGAGUCCUACAACACUAAUAGUGGUGUUUAUGAAAAUGAAAAAGUGCUUCCUACCCACAUGCAAAUGUUUUUAAGAAAUUUUUUCCAUACAACCUAAGUGUAAUUUAGCAUACCAUAGUGCUCUGAAGAUGGGUCAUUGACAAUGUACCAUUUGUACAUAGGUAAUACAUGUAAAUCACUAAAUGUUAAGUAUACGAAGUAUGUUUUUAUCUUUUUUAAAAAAAGUGACUCCCUUUCUCAUUCUGUUCUGUUGUAUUGCGUCCAAAAGUUGUGUGUAAUUUUUUUAAGGUCCAGGAUAUAAAGAAAUUUGUUGGAAUAUCUGAAUUUCUGUAAAAAAUAAAAAUAAGAUUUUGUUAUUUAAAA